rnacentral:rRNA from 1 species
GAUGAACGCUGGCGGCGUGCUUAACACAUGCAAGUCGAACGAUGAAGCCCAGCUUGCUGGGUGGAUUAGUGGCGAACGGGUGAGUAACACGUGAGUAACCUGCCCUUAACUCUGGGAUAAGCCUGGGAAACUGGGUCUAAUACCGGAUAGGAGCGUCCACCGCAUGGUGGGUGUUGGAAAGAUUUAUCGGUUUUGGAUGGACUCGCGGCCUAUCAGCUUGUUGGUGGGGUAAUGGCUCACCAAGGCGACGACGGGUAGCCGGCCUGAGAGGGUGACCGGCCACACUGGGACUGAGUCACGGCCCAGACUCCUACGGGAGGCAGCAGUGGGGAAUAUUGCACAAUGGGCGCAAGCCUGAUGCAGCGACGCCGCGUGAGGGAUGACGGCCUUCGGGUUGUAAACCUCUUUCAGUAGGGAAGAAGCGAAAGUGACGGUACCUGCAGAAGAAGCACCGGCUAACUACGUG